rnacentral:pre_miRNA from 7 species
UUCUUGGCCUUGGGGAUCUCUCUCCUUCCUCCACCCCCAUACCUGAUCCUGAAAGACCCCCGAAGGGAGACCCUCACUCAAGCCUCGGGACAGCCGCGGACCCAAGAAGACACUGAGACCG